CAGCAGCCGCGGGAAUACGUAGGGUGCAAGCGUUAAUCGGAAUUACUGGGCGUAAAGCGUGCGCAGGCGGUGUUGUAAGACUGAUGUGAAAUCCCGGGCUCAACCUGGGAACUGCAUUGGUGACUGCAACGCUGGAGUGCGGCAGAGGGGGAUGGAAUUCCGCGUGUAGCAGUGAAAUGCGUAGAUAUGCGGAGGAACACCGAUGGCGAAGGCAAUCCCCUGGGCCUGCACUGACGCUGAGGUACGAAAGCAUGGGGAGCAAACAGGAUUAGAUACCCCUGUAGUCCCUGUCUCUUAUACA
rnacentral:rRNA from 1 species